rnacentral:misc_RNA from 1 species
UGUGGGAGCGGGCUUGCUCGCGAAGGCGCAGGGUCAGCCAACUCAUUUAUGUCUGAUACACCGCUAUCGCGAGCAAGCCCGCUCCCACA